GAGUCAUGUGCUACUUUGUUUGUUUGUUUUUGAAAAGUGGUCUGAGGCUGAGAGACGUUUGUCCAGUUGGCAUCAUCGUUGAAAUACUAGUAAUCGACGAUAGCCAUCUUUGGAGGUCAGGUGGUCCGAUACCAAGCACCAAUUCCAGAAUAAUUGAGAUCACCACUGUUUUGGUGAUACUUUCUGCUACCAGUAUAUUUUAAUGUGACUUGUGUAGACUGCAUCAGAGAAACGAUCAGUUUUACAGACAGCAACUUAAAUGUAUAUAAGCUACGUAUUAUAUGCACAGGUCUAGCAGUUUCAGGAGCGUUAACAACCGGAGAUGUUUGGUUAUCUAGUUACCAUACUGGUUUCAAUCUUUCUGACGGCGGUUGUCGUCCAAGAAUCUGAGGCGGUGUGUUGUUCCUCAGGAGCCUCGCUCCGCUGGUGUGUGGACUGUACCAGGAGAACCCCGUAUUGUGGCAAAGGACCAUGCAAUGUAUUCGGCUGCGCGUGCGAGGGUGGAUGUAGACAGUCUUGUGGCCCAAAACUCCUCGAUCCAGUUAACGCUGGGAUUGUAAUUUACUACAAUACGUGUCGUUGCAAUAACAAGAGAUCCAUGACAGAUGAGGCUGUGGUUGAUGCAUACAGAGAGGAUCAGGUUUUCGAGCCCUGAAUUGGCACCGGGACUAGAUCCAGGCGUGCAAAUGUAGGAGAGGAGCCGUGUGGGCAUACUUUUAUUUCUAUUAUAAUUAUUAUUCAGAUGAGAACAUGUAAUGUUAGGACAAGAGUCUACAGGAUAUUUCCUACAUACAUGUAGCUCUACAUUUGGACUUUUUAUCGUUUUGAUCAUCCCACAAAUAACAAAUAAAAACAUGCAACUCCAAACGUCCAGAUACCGCCAA